AACACCUCAAAGCUUUUGGAUUUUUUUUUUUUGAAAGCUUUUGACUUUAGCAAUCCCAACACCAAUCUUUUUCAGAUCGGCGGCGGGUUGCUUGAAAUGCAGGUGCAGCUGGACUUUCUCCUGAGCUAAAAGCAUAUUCAUUUAGUCCCGUCAAACGGAUUAUUACUUUUGCUGCAGCUAACAUAAAGGGAGUUUGACCGCAUUGGCUGACUGAUGCAGGAUUUCACAAGGGUCGGCAACGAUUCUUGUUAA
rnacentral:misc_RNA from 1 species